GCGGGUAUAGCUCAGUUGGUAGAGCGCCUGCUUCCCAAGCAGAAGGUCACGGGUUCGAGUCCCGUUACCCGCU
rnacentral:tRNA from 2 species